UUAAUCUACUUGUCCAAAAAAAUUAGAAGAGGAAAAAGAGGGAGAAUGAAACCCUAGAUCUACGCCACUGUAUUCAUUUUGUCACCGUCAAGCUCGCUAUAGCUACUGAGAUCGGAGGGAGAGUAACCGGCGACGCCCGCGAUGCCAUCCUUGCCGAAAUCCAGGAGCAGAUUUCCAUCCUCAACUCCACUUUCUCAUGGAAGGAGUCAGAUCGAGCCGCCGCCAAGCGGCCAUUCACGCGCUCGCCAAUCUUGCCAAAAACGAGGAAGUGGUGAACGUGAUUGUCGAAGGAGGAGCUAUUCCUUCGUCGCGUCUCCUGAGGUCACGACACGUAAUUAGCCUCAUGCCGUAAAAGAAUAUGCUUUGUGGUUUGGUGAUCUUAAUGACUUGAGGAUUCUACCAGAUGCAAGCCAAGAUCUUUAUAUUAGAGUUCCUGCUUCAGAGUUAGAGACAAAAAAUGGAUGCAAGGGCAAGAUACAAAUUGCAGUUUGGGUCAUAAUUGGCGUAUUAUAUGUACCUCCUCUAAAGAAGGAGACUUUGUCUAGACACUCAUUCUUAGGCAAGUGGUCUUCGGGGCCAACGGCUUGGACCUAGUGCAGAAAUUAAGGUUCAAUAUCCAAGCAGUACUGAUCUGACACACGUCAAAGAUUCAAGCUUGAAUCAGGCUGGGCAAUAUGAUCUUGUGCAAUUAAAGAAUUGGAUCAAGGACCAGCUGCAUCCACAAUGAACUCAGUUCUCUCAUUGGAUGACGGAAGAUGGUCGCAUCCUGUUGUAACUGAAUCAAAGGAGGACUCUUUCCACUUUUUCAAACAGCCUUUGCCACCUCCUGUUCUUGCUCAGGUGUAUCCUGAGUCUUCUCCCAUUCCUCCUUCAAAAGUUGCAGAUCCAAGGCCUGGACCAGCUAAAUCUUCUCAGGAUUCUGGACCUGGUCCCAGUACAUACCAACACCUACAUAUUGUAAGCCUGAUUUAUUUUACGUUUUAAAUGGAAUUGUUCAAAGCACAUCAUGGACUCUCUUGAUCAUUCACUGUGACUUGUUCUUAUGUGUGGUUUGUUUGG